rnacentral:rRNA from 1 species
AUACGGAGGAUCCGAGCGUUAUCCGGAUUUAUUGGGUUUAAAGGGUGCGCAGGCGGCCAUUUAAGUCAGCGGUUAAAUCGUGGGGCUCAACCCCAUUCUGCCGUUGAUACUGGGUGGCUUGAUUGCGGUCGAGGUUGGCGGAAUUCGUUGUGUAGCGGUGAAAUGCAUAGAUAUGACGAAGAACACCGAUUGCGUAGGCAGCUGACCAGAUCGCAAAUGACGCUCAUGCACGAAAGUGCGGGGAUCGAACAGGAUUAGAUACCCUGGUAGUCCGCACAGUAAACGAUGAAUACUUGUCUUCGGCGAUAUAAUGUCGGAGGCAAAGCGAAAGCGAUAAGUAUUCCACCUGGGGAGUACGCCGGCAACGGUGAAACUCAAAUGAAUUGACGGGG